GUAAUAACAUGGCUAUAUACACAUGGUACCAGUACUGAGUCAAUGUGCUGAGGUAUGAGGUAAAAACAUGGAUAUAUACACAUGGUACCAGUACUGAGGUAUGAGGUAAUAACAUGGCUAUAUACACAUGGUACCAGUACUGAGGUACGAGGUAAUAACAUGGCUAUAUACACAUGGUACUAGUACUGAGGUACGAGGUAAUAACAUGGCUAUAUACACAUGGUACCAGUACUGAGGUACGAGGUAAUAACAGAGCAUUCAGAAAGUAUUCAGACCUCUUGACUUUCUCCGUAUUUUGCUACUGUUUUUCCUUAAAUGAGGAAAUUGUGAUGUCAGUAUGGGGUAUUGUGAUGUCAUUAUGGGGUAUUGUGAUGUCAUUAUGGGGUAUUGUGAUGUCAUUAUGGAGAAUUGUGAUGCCAUUAUGGGGUAUUGUGAUGUCAUUAUGGAGUAUUGUGAUGCCAUUAUGGGGUAUUGUGAUGUCAUUAUGGGGUAUUGUGAUGCCAUUAUGGGGUAUUGUGAUGUCAUUAUGGGGUAUUGUGAUGUCAUUAUGGGGUAUUGUGAUGUCAUUAUGAAGCAUUGUGAUGUCAUUAAGGAGUAUUGUGUUUAGAUUGAUGAGAAUUUUUAAACGGAACAAAAUGUGGAAAAAGGGAAGGGGUCUGAAUACGUCCAGAAUGCACUGCAGGUACGGUCACUGUGGGGAUGACGUCGUUGAUCCACUUGUGUGUGUCUCUUUCCACCUACCUGUUGAGGCAGAUGGCUGUGUGUGUGUGUGUGUGUGUGUGUGUGUGUGUGUGUGUGUGUGUGUGUGU
rnacentral:lncRNA from 1 species